GCAAGAAUUGUGCUACCAUUUUCUAGAAAAUACUCAAAAAUACAAUGUUUGUUUCCAAAUGACCCCGUUUGGGGCACACAUCUAAGAACGAGGAUUUAAUCCGACAUUCAAGUUGUUACAUUGAUUGUAUCAAUCGUUGCUUGGGCAAGUGCGAAAUCAAAAUUCUUCUGUGAGUUAGCGCGUGCACAUGCCUACGUUCCUGUCUGUGGCACUAAUGGACAGACAUAUGACAACAAAUGCUUUUAUCUGCGUAUAGAACUGGUCAUCUAUCACGGAUUUCAAGUUGAAUAUCUCUUCCUGCAGCAUUCUGUUUGAUUUUAUGAAAUUGUUUCCGUUGUCACUGUUCAUGUGACCUGGAAUUCCGCGACGAGCUGAGAGUCGACAGAAAGGUGCAAGAAAGGC